UACAGAGGUCUCAAGCGUUGUUCGGCUUCAUUGGGCGUAAAGGGUGCGUAGGCGGCUGGGUAAGUUGGAUGUGAAAUCCUGGGGCUUAACCUCAGAAUUGCAUUCAAUACUGCCUUGCUAGAGAGCUGUAGAGGAGACUGGAAUUUACGGUGUAGCAGUGAAAUGCGUAGAUAUCGUAAGGAACGCCAGUGGCGAAAGCGAGUCUCUGGGCAGCAUCUGACGCUGAGGCACGAAGGCCAGGGGAGCAAACGGG
rnacentral:rRNA from 1 species